rnacentral:rRNA from 1 species
UGGGGAAUAUUGCGCAAUGGGCGAAAGCCUGACGCAGCCAUGCCGCGUGUGUGAAGAAGGCCUUCGGGUUGUAAAGCACUUUCAGUGGGGAGGAAAGGCUCAAGGCUAAUAUCCUUGGGAGUUGACGCUACCCACAGAAGAAGCACCGGCUAAUUCCGUGCCAGCAGCCGCGGUAAUACGGAAGGUGCAAGCGUUAAUCGGAAUUACUGGGCGUAAAGCGCGCGUAGGCGGCUUGGUAAGUCGGGUGUGAAAGCCCCGGGCUCAACCUGGGAACUGCACUCGAUACUGCUGAGCUGGAGUACGAAAGAGGGGGGUGGAAUUCCAGGUGUAGCGGUGAAAUGCGUAGAGAUCUGGAGGAACACCGGUGGCGAAGGCGGCCCCCUGGUUCGAUACUGACGCUGAGGUGCGAAAGCGUGGGGAGCAAA